rnacentral:rRNA from 1 species
CCUACGGGUGGCAGCAGUGAGGAAUAUUGGUCAAUGAACGAGAGUCUGAACCAGCCAAGUAGCGUGAAGGAUGACUGCCCUAUGGGUUGUAAACUUCUUUUAUAAAGGAAUAAAACGAGGCACGUGUGCCUUUUUGCAUGUACUUUAUGAAUAAGGAUCGGCUAACUCCGUGCCAGCAGCCGCGGUAAUACGGAGGAUCCGAGCGUUAUCCGGAUUUAUUGGGUUGAAAGGGAGCGUAGAUGGGUUGUUAAGUCAGUUGUGAAAGUUUGGGGCUCAACCGUAAAAUUGCAAUUGAUACUGGCAGUCUUGAGUACAGUGGAGGUAGGCGGAAUUCGUGGUGUAGCGGUGAAAUGCGUAGAUAUCACGAAGAACCCCGAGGGCGAAGGCAGCUUACUAAACUGUGACUGACAUUGAGGCUCGAAAGUGUGGGGAGCAAACAGGAUUAGAUACCCUAGUAGUC